GAUGAACGCUGGCGGCGUGCCUAAUACAUGCAAGUCGAGCGAACGGACGAGAAGCUUGCUUUUCUGAUGUUAGCGGCGGACGGGUGAGUAACACGUGGAUAACCUACCUAUAAGACUGGGAUAACUUCGGGAAACCGGAGCUAAUACCGGAUAAUAUUUUGAACCGCAUGGUUCAAAAGUGAAAGACGGUCUUGCUGUCACUUAUAGAUGCAUCCGCGCUGCAUUAGCUAGUUGGUAAGGUAACGGCUUACCAAGGCAACGAUGCAUAGCCGACCUGAGAGGGUGAUCGGCCACACUGGAACUGAGACACGGUCCAGACUCCUACGGGAGGCAGCAGUAGGGAAUCUUCCGCAAUGGGCGAAAGCAUGACGGAGCAACGCCGCGUGAGUGAUGAAGGUCUCCGGAUCGUAAAACUCUGUUAUUAGGGAAGAACAUAUGUGUAAGUAACUGUGCACAUCUUGACGGUACCUAAUCAGAAAGCCACGGCUAACUACGUG
rnacentral:rRNA from 1 species